UGCAAUCAGGGGGUCGUCGGUUCGAUCCCGACAGGCUCCACCA
rnacentral:tRNA from 1 species